rnacentral:rRNA from 1 species
GGUUAAGCGAAUAAGCGUACACGGUGGAUGCCUAGGCAAUCAGAGGCGAUGAAGGACGUGCUAAUCUGCGAAAAGCGUCGGUAAGGUGAUAUGAACCGUUAUACCCGACGAUAUCCGAAUGGGGAAACCCAGUAUCCAAUGGAUACUAUCAUUAACUGAAUCCAUAGGUUAAUGAGGCGAACCGGGAGAACUGAAACAUCUCAGUACCCCGAGGAAAAGAAAUCAACCGAGAUUCCCCUAGUAGCGGCGAGCGAACGGGGAGCAGCCCAGAGUCUUAAUCAAUAGCAGUGUCAGGAGAACGGUCUGGAAAGUCCGGCAGUAAAGGGUGAUAGCCCCGUAUCUGAAGAUGCUGUUAUUGUGAACUCGACGAGUAGGGCGGGACACGUGUUAUCCUGUCUGAAUAUGGGGGGACCAUCCUCCAAGGCUAAAUACUCCUGAUUGACCGAUAGUGAACCAGUACCGUGAGGGAAAGGCGAAAAGAACCCCGGCGAGGGGAGUGAAAAAGAACCUGAAACCGUGUACGUACAAGCAGUAGGAGCCUCUUUAUGGGGUGACUGCGUACCUUUUGUAUAAUGGGUCAGCGACUUAUAUUCUGUAGCAAGGUUAACCGCAUAGGGGAGCCGUAGGGAAACCGAGUCUUAACUGGGCGAAUGAGUUGCAGGGUAUAGACCCGAAACCCGGUGAUCUAUCCAUGGGCAGGUUGAAGGUUGGGUAACACUAACUGGAGGACCGAACCGACUAAUGUUGAAAAAUUAGCGGAUGACUUGUGGAUGGGGGUGAAAGGCCAAUCAAACCGGGAGAUAGCUGGUUCUCCCCGAAAGCUAUUUAGGUAGCGCCUCGUGAACUCAUCUUCGGGGGUAGAGCACUGUUUCGACUAGGGGGUCAUCCCGACUUACCAACUCGAUGCAAACUGCGAAUACCGAAGAAUGUUAUCACGGGAGACACACGGCGGGUGCUAACGUCCGUCGUGAAGAGGGAAACAACCCAGACCGCCAGCUAAGGUCCCAAAGUCAUGGUUAAGUGGGAAACGAAGUGGGAAGGCUCAGACAGCCAGGAUGUUGGCUUAGAAGCAGCCAUCAUUUAAAGAAAGCGUAAUAGCUCACUGGUCGAGUCGGCCCGCGCGGAAGAUGUAACGGGGCUAAACCAUGCACCGAAGCUGCGGCAGCGACACAUAGUGUUGUUGGGUAGGGGAGCGUUCUGUAAGCCUGCGAAGGUGUACUGUGAGGUAUGCUGGAGGUAUCAGAAGUGCGAAUGCUGACAUAAGUAACGAUAAUGCGGGUGAAAAACCCGCACGCCGGAAGACCAAGGGUUCCUGUCCAACGUUAAUCGGGGCAGGGUGAGUCGACCCCUAAGGCGAGGCUGAAAAGCGUAGUCGAUGGGAAACGGGUUAAUAUUCCCGUACUGGUGGUAACUGCGAUGGGGGAACGGAGAAGGCUAGGUUGUCCGGGCGACGGUCGUCCCGGUUCAAGCAGGUAGGCAGAGUGAUUAGGCAAAUCCGGUCACUUAAUGCUGAGAUGUGAUGACGAACCACUAAGGUGGUGAAGCAAUUGAUGCCCCGCUUCCAGGAAAAGCCUCUAAGCUUCAGGUUACCAACAAUCGUACCCCAAACCGACACAGGUGGUCAGGUAGAGAAUACUCAGGCGCUUGAGAGAACUCGGGUGAAGGAACUAGGCAAAAUGGUGCCGUAACUUCGGGAGAAGGCACGCUGGCGGUAGGUAAAGUCCCUCGCGGACGGCGCUGAAGCCAGUCGAAGAUACCAGCUGGCUGCAACUGUUUAUUAAAAACACAGCACUGUGCAAACACGAAAGUGGACGUAUACGGUGUGACGCCUGCCCGGUGCUGGAAGGUUAAUUGAUGGGGUCAGCCGCAAGGCGAAGCUCCUGAUCGAAGCCCCAGUAAACGGCGGCCGUAACUAUAACGGUCCUAAGGUAGCGAAAUUCCUUGUCGGGUAAGUUCCGACCUGCACGAAUGGCGUAAUGAUGGCCAGGCUGUCUCCACCCGAGACUCAGUGAAAUUGAACUCGCUGUGAAGAUGCAGUGUACCCGCGGCAAGACGGAAAGACCCCGUGAACCUUUACUAUAGCUUGACACUGAACAUUGAGCCUUGAUGUGUAGGAUAGGUGGGAGGCUUUGAAGUGUGGACGCCAGUCUGCAUGGAGCCAACCUUGAAAUACCACCCUUUAACGUUUGAUGUUCUAACCUAGGCCCAUAAACUGGGUCGGGGACCGUGUCUGGUGGGUAGUUUGACUGGGGCGGUCUCCUCCUAAAGAGUAACGGAGGAGCACGAAGGUUGGCUAAGCAUGGUCGGACAUCAUGCGGUUAGUGCAAAGGCAUAAGCCAGCUUGACUGCGAGAGUGACGGCUCGAGCAGGUACGAAAGUAGGUCUUAGUGAUCCGGUGGUUCUGAAUGGAAGGGCCAUCGCUCAACGGAUAAAAGGUACUCCGGGGAUAACAGGCUGAUACCGCCCAAGAGUUCAUAUCGACGGCGGUGUUUGGCACCUCGAUGUCGGCUCAUCACAUCCUGGGGCUGAAGUAGGUCCCAAGGGUAUGGCUGUUCGCCAUUUAAAGUGGUACGCGAGCUGGGUUUAGAACGUCGUGAGACAGUUCGGUCCCUAUCUGCCGUGGGCGUUGGAAGAUUGAGAGGGGUUGCUCCUAGUACGAGAGGACCGGAGUGAACGCACCACUGGUGUUCGGGUUGUCAUGCCAAUGGCAUUGCCCGGUAGCUAAGUGCGGAAGAGAUAACCGCUGAAAGCAUCUAAGCGGGAAACUUGCCUCGAGAUGAGUCUUCCCUGUCACUUUAAGUGACCUAAAGGAACGUUUAAGACUAAGACGUUGAUAGGCUGGGUGUGUAAGCGUAGCGAUACGUUGAGCUAACCAGUACUAAUGAACCGUGAGGCUUAACCUG